rnacentral:tRNA from 1 species
AAGAUAUAUAAUUUUAAGAAUAAGCUUCUAACUUAAUUCUUUAGCAGUGAAACUCUGUUAAUAUCUUU